rnacentral:rRNA from 1 species
CAGCCGCCGCGGGAAAACGAAGGGGGCUAGCGUUGUUCGGAUUUACUGGGCGUAAAGCGCACGUAGGCGGACUUUUAAGUCAGGGGUGAAAUCCCGGGGCUCAACCCCGGAACUGCCUUUGAUACUGGAAGUCUUGAGUAUGGUAGAGGUGAGUGGAAUUCCGAGUGUAGAGGUGAAAUUCGUAGAUAUUCGGAGGAACACCAGUGGCGAAGGCGGCUCACUGGACCAUUACUGACGCUGAGGUGCGAAAGCGUGGGGAGCAAACAGGAUUAGAUACCCCAGUAGUCCCUGUCUCUUAUAA